rnacentral:tRNA from 1 species
GCUCCUGAGGUGUUACGGUAGCACGUCGGACUGUCGAUCCGAAAGCCGGGGUUCAACUCCCCGUAGGGGCG